GCUUCCGGUGGCUUAUGUGGUUAAAGCGUCUGCCGCCUCGGAUGCGGAAGGUCGUGGGUUCGAUCCCCGUCUGAAUUA